UUACGGUCAAAUCACGCUGAAAACACCGGUUCUCGUUCGAUCACCGAAGUUAAGCAUCGUAGAGCCAGGUCAGUACUUAGAUGGGGGACCGCUUGGGAACACCUGGUACUGUUAG